GAGCUAAGCGCAGGCGGACGCAGUCUGGAGCGCUAGCGGGUGUCGCCAGGCUUGCAGCGCGGAGCAAGAAGCGGAGCCCGCAGCGGUGCGUCUUCUGGGACUUGUGCUCGGAGGAAGCGUGUGCUCCAGCAAAUAGCUCCAGUGCAAUCCCUCCAUCUGACUGACAGGGGCCGGCCCUCAGAACAGCGAGAGGAAGCCAUGCAGAUGAGCCGCCCACAUCUGUCACCCACAUCUGUCACGGCGCGGCGAGUCGGCUCCGGCCCAUAGCGACCCCACACACAACUGGAGGAAACCCUGCCGGGCCGGUGCCGUCCUCCCAGCUGUGCCCAUGCCUGAGCCCAUCGAC